rnacentral:lncRNA from 10 species
UCAGUGGCAGGGUAGGGGUACCCCCCUGACUCAGGAGAUUGGAACAGAGAAAGCCUCUUGACCCUGAGCCCAUCAAAGCUCCUCUCUCAGGUUUGCCUUUUCCUGCCCCUCACAGCCCUCCUCUUCUCGAGAAGGCCAACCGUCCCACCACCGCUGUGGGAAGAGGGGCAGCGUGGGCUGGGCUAUCAACUGGGGCGUCUCCUAUCUGUAUCCUCAAAGCUUUCUGAGUCUCCUGCACUCCCUGUCCAAUGGACAUGGGUUUUCUCCCUGGGCUGGGCCCAGGAGAGAUUCAGAAUAGGAGCCAACAGAGGCCCUGAACUCAAGAUCCUGCCGUCAGAAUGCAGACACAGUCAUGCCCAUGGAUUCCAGGCCAGCAUUAGUGCCAAAGAGAGUAAUCAUAAUAGCUAAGUUUCCUUGAACACUUCCAAAAUGGGCACUUUAUAUCCAUUAACAUGUUUAAUCCUCGAAACCACCCUGGGAAAUUGGUGCUAUCAUAUCUGCAUUUUACAGAUAAGGAAGCUGUGGCUCAGAGCAGCCAGUAACAGGCCCAAGGUCUUACAGCAAGGAAGUAGCAGGAGCAGGAUCUAUCCCAGAGCCUGUACUCUUACCUUCUUCACCUGUGCCAUUCAAUACAGUGGCCGCUAAAAGCAUGUGACUAUUUAACUUUGAAUUCAUUAAAGUUCAAUGCAGUUACAGUUCAGUUCCUCACUGCACUAGCCACCUUUCAAGUGCUCAGCAGCCACAUGUGGCUAGAGACUGUCACAUUGGACAAUACAGAUAUUAAAUGUCUCUAUCAUUGCAGAAUGUUCUAUUAGUCAACACUGGUCUACAGCCUACUGCCUCUCAAGAAUAGAGAUGGGGCAAUGGAAAAUCAUCCUUCAGUUAGUAGACUAAAAUAAUAAUUAACAAUAAUGAUACCAAUGGCUACAAUUUACCAAGAGCUUCCUCUGCGCCAGGCACAGUGCCAAGCCCAUAAUCCUUACCCAAUCCUAGGUUCAGGAAGGUAACCCAGGGUCACAGUAGCUAGGAAUUGAAUCCAGGUUUGUGUGGCCUCAGAGUCCAGUCCACUGGCCCUCGCCCUCCUGCCCCACCCCCUGCCCGGUCCCCAGCAGUUUAUAGUCCCUGGGGGAAGGAGGGGAAGGCAAGUGCGCUGUAUUUCACAAGACCAGGGAUUAAAUAAAUCAGCACGUAAUUAACAUCAUCACAUUUCCCCAAGCCCGCUGACCAGAACAUUGUGCUAAUGAGGUCAAGGUCUUGAUGUUGAGCCCUGUGAACAUCACAUCACUUCACUUCAUGGGAGAAAGGCUGGCUCCCUGCCCUGAGGGCAGCCCCCCACACUGUGAUUGGGAAAUAGGGAGAGUGUGGAUGUUGCAGCACAGCCUGUGGCCUGCUCUGAGGCUUAGCGUAGUAGAGGGUCGGGCGUCCGGCCAAGAAGAAUCCUAUUAAACGCUAUGGGGAUGUGUCUUCUGGACAACUGGGAAUCUAGAAAGGAUGGGGUUAGCAGAAAGCAAAGCCUGAGUGUGAAGAAAAGAUGCAGCAGAAGAUAGAACAGAACUUCUGAGACUUGCUUCCUCUUAGUUGGGUAAAGCCUUUUGGGCAACAUGGGGACAUACAGGAAUUUUUGAGGGCUUGGCUUGGGUGGGGAGAUCUGCCUUUAGUAUCCUGUAAGGAUUGCACUAUUUGGCGGAAAGUUAGCCCAGUUGCAUGUCAAUCCCACAUGGCCUCUGGGGAGAUAAGGCCUGGGGAGAGGCUAGAGCAGGCUGUUUGGCAGUAGCAGGUCUCCUCCAGACAGGCCUGAGGAGUACAUGAGACAAUGUAGGUACAGAGCCUGAGUGGGGCCAGGCACGUGGUAGGUCUUGGUAAACAUUAGUUUAUUAAACUAUCUCCCUCCUUUAAGCAGCUUUUUUUCUGGGCCAGUAUACCACCAGGUUCGGGGGUUCUGAUGAUGUCAGCAUAAUGCCAAAGGCAUGAGCCAGUGGCUGGCUGUGUGAGUCAGGAUAGGCCGUGCUGUGCUGCAGUGACGAAGUAUCCUGGAAAUCUGUGGGCUAACACCACGGAGGUUUUUUCUUGCUCAUGCUAUUUGGCUAAAGCAGACUGGCAGGG